UACGUAGGGUGCAAGCGUUGUCCGGAAUUAUUGGGCGUAAAAGGAGCUCGUAGGCGGUUCGUCGCGUCGGCGGUGUAGAAAUCCCGGAGCUCAACUCCGGGGUCUGCAAGUCGAUACGGGCGGACUUGAGUACUGCAGGGGAGACUGGAAUUCCUGGUGUAGCGGUGAAAUGCGCAGAUAUCAGGAGGAACACCGGUGGCGAAGGCGGGUCUCUGGGCAGUAACUGACGCUGAGGAGCGAAAGCGUGGGGAGCGAACAGG
rnacentral:rRNA from 1 species